GUGAGGAAUUUUCCGCAAUGGGCGAAAGCCUGACGGAGCAAUGCCACGUGAAGGAUGAAGGCCUAUGGGUUGUAAACUUCUUUUCUCAGAAAAGAAUUAUGACGGUAUCUGAGGAAUAAGCAUCGGCUAACUCUGUGCCAGCAGCCGCGGUAAGACAGAGGAUGCAAGCGUUAUCCGGACUGAUUGGGCGUAAAGCGCCUGUAGGUUGUUUAAAAAGUAUUCUGUCAAAGAUUAGGGCUUAACCCUAGAUAGGCAGAAUAAACUUUUAAGCUAGAGUUUGGUAGAGGCGGAGGGAAUACCCGGUGGAGCUGUGAAAUGCGUAGAUAUCGGGAGGAACACCAAAGGCGAAGGCACUCUGCUGGGCCAAUACUAACACUGAGAGACGAAAGCGAGGGGAGCAAAUGGGAUUAGAAACCCGUGUAGUCC
rnacentral:rRNA from 1 species